rnacentral:lncRNA from 1 species
UUGUGAAGGCCAGAAGUAAUUUUGCCUCCAACAUUAAACAAGUAUACAACAUUGUUCAAAACCUUUCUGGUUUUUUUAUCACCUAGUGUUUGCAUUAAUAACUUUACUACAUCCUUGAAGUAGCUACAAUGUUGUUAAAUAUCAGCUACAGAGACGCUAUAGCGAUAUAGCGUAGCGGACUAACCGCUGUUGUUCUGCGAUAUGCUAUUUAGUAUACAAUGUUAUCGAAUAGCGCCUAUAGUGGCACUAUGGCACUGUAGCAUAGUGGAAUUUUAACACUCCACUAUCUGCCAUUGGAAGGUUGAUCCGAAAAGUGAAAUAAGAAUCCUUGAAUGUCCAAUUUAUUGACUAUGAGGGCGUCCAUCUAGAAGACUUAUUUGGGCCGUCACACAAGCCCUUCUAAAGUGUUUAGACUAAUUUAUCAAAAUAACUUAUUAUUAUAGGAAUAACUUAUAACUUAUUAUUAAAGGAAUAACUUAAGGAGCUUGCAGUGCACUAUAGGUUAGCUUUAUAACUAUCUAACUGUCAAAUGACAGUUAUAGAAAGAUGUAGCUAAGUGACUGACAAAUGACAGUCACUAGCAACCGGUAAGCCGGUUAGGAUCAAUUCUAUAUAUAGAUUGAUCAAGCAUGUAACUAACUAAUUCAAUAUUCAGUUAAUGAAAAACAAAGUUCAAACAUUCUUAUACUCUUUGAAUAUCUCUAACUAACUCUCAUAGAAUAGAUUCUAGAAAUCUAACACUUAUCAUGUUAACAACAUCAACUAUCAGUCACCAUCAAAAAGCAAUACCACAUACCAUUACGAUAUCAACAACAAAUAAACAAUGAACUACAACUAUUUGGCUCAUUUGGGCACAUCAAGAGCAACAGCAAUAACAGAAGCAACCAAGUGUUAUCCCACUAAGUGGGGUCGGCUACCUGAACAAAUUAUGCCAUAAUGUUUUAUUAUAAACCAUAUUUCGGUCCAACUCAUUAAAUCUUCCUUAAUAGUUUAUCAAGGUCUUUCUCCAACUCUAGUAAUCAAAGUCAGACUAUCCUCCAUAUCAACAACGACAAUCAAAUAUGUCAAAAACAACAAAACCUUAAUCAUGUCAAAAAACAAAUACUAAAACUUACUUUCAUAGCAUUAACAUAGAACCAUAGACCUACAUGUUUAAUCCUUAGCCAUGCAUCCUUUGUACUUGUAUGGGAGAGAAAAAAGACAAAAUUGGCAAAUUUAAGAAACACAAAUUCAGAAUUCACGCCCUUUACUCUUCGUGAUUACGUAUCAUAUUGAUAUUUAUGAAUAAUUC